rnacentral:rRNA from 1 species
UACGAAGGUCCCAAGCGUUGUUCGGAUUUACUGGGCGUAAAGGGCGCGUAGGCGGCGUGGUAAGUCACUUGUGAAAUCUCUGAGCUUAACUCAGAACGGCCAAGUGAUACUGCUGUGCUAGAGUGCAGAAGGGCAAUCGGAAUUCUUGGUGUAGCGGUGAAAUGCGUAGAUAUCAAGAGGAACACCUGAGGUGAAGACGGGUUGCUGGGCUGACACUGACGCUGAUGCGCGAAAGCCAGGGGAGCAAACGGG